CUACGGGGGGCACCAGUGAGGAAUUUUGCGCAAUGGGGGAAACCCUGACGCAGCAACGCCGCGUGAGCGAAGAAGGCCUUCGGGUCGUAAAGCUCUGUCAAGUGGGAAAAAAAUUCUUUGAUGAACAGUCAAAGGACUUGAUGGUACCACUGGAGGAAGCACCGGCUAACUCCGUGCCAGCAGCCGCGGUAAUACGGGAGGGUGCAAGCGUUGUUCGGAAUUACUGGGCGUAAAGAGCGUGUAGGCGGUUUGACAAGUCAGAUGUGAAAGCCCCGGGCUCAACCCGGGAAGUGCAUUUGAAACUGUUUCACUAGAGUAUGGGAGAGGAGAUUGGAAUUCCUGGUGUAGAGGUGAAAUUCGUAGAUAUCAGGAGGAACACCCGUGGCGAAGGCGAUUCUCUGGACCAAUACUGACGCUGAGACGCGAAAGCGUGGGGAGCAAACAGGAUUAGAUACCCCUGUAGUC
rnacentral:rRNA from 1 species